UCGAGAAUAUUUAGCAAUGGACGAAAGUCUGACUAUGCGACGCCGCGUGAGGGAUGAAGGUUUUCGGAUCGUAAACCUCUUUCGAUGGGGAAGAAACUUACCCGGGUAACCGGGGAACUGACGGUACCCAGAGAAGAAGCCACGGCUAACUCCGUGCCAGCAGCCGCGGUAAUACGGAGGUGGCGAGCGUUACUCGGAUUUACUGGGUGUAAAGGGCAGGUAGGUGGCUAUGUAAGUUGAAGGUGAAAUCCUUUGACUCAAUCAAAGAACUGCCUUCAAAACUACAUUGCUUGAGGAUUGGAGAGGAGAGCGGAAUUCCCGGUGUAAGGGUGAAAUCUGUAGAUAUCGGGAGGAACACCCGUGGCGAAAGCGGCUCUCUGGCUAAUCCCUGACGCUGAGC
rnacentral:rRNA from 1 species